GGAGGGGAAACACCCGUUCCCAUCCCGAACACGGAAGUUAAGCCCUCCAGCGCCGAUGGUAGUUGGGGCCAGCGCCCCUGCAAGAGUAGGUCGUUGCUAGGC
rnacentral:rRNA from 1 species